GACGAACGCUGGCGGCGUGCUUAACACAUGCAAGUCGAACGGAAAGGCCCUGCUUUUGUUGGGUGCUCGAGUGGCGAACGGGUGAGUAACACGUGAGUAACCUGCCCUUGACUUUUGGAUAACUUCAGGAAACUGUGGCUAAUACCGGAUAGGAGCUCCUGCUGCAUGGUGGGGGUUGGAAAGUUUCGGCGGUUGGGGAUGGACUCGCGGCUUAUCAGCUUGUUGGUGGGGUAGUGGCUUACCAAGGCUUUGACGGGUAGCCGGCCUGAGAGGGUGACCGGCCACAUUGGGACUGAGAUACGGCCCAGACUCCUACGGGAGGCAGCAGUGGGGAAUAUUGCACAAUGGGCGGAAGCCUGAUGCAGCAACGCCGCGUGCGGGAUGACGGCCUUCGAGUUGUAAACCGCUUUCGCCUGUGACGAAGCGUGAGUGACGGUAAUGGGUAAAGAAGCACCGGCUAACUACGUG
rnacentral:rRNA from 1 species